rnacentral:misc_RNA from 1 species
GAUGAAGAACGUAGCGAAAUGCGAUACGUAAUGUGAAUUGCAGAAUUCAGUGAAUCAUCGAAUCUUUGAACGCACAUUGCGCCCCCUGGUAUUCCGGGGGGCAUGCCUGUCCGAGCGUCAUUACAACCCUCAAGCUCAGCUUGGUAUUGGGCCCCGCCGCUCCGGCGGGCCCUAAAGUCAGUGGCGGUGCCGUCCGGCUCCGAGCGUAGUAAUUCUUCUCGCUCUGGAGGUCCGGUCGUGUGCUCGCCAGCAACCCCCAAUUUUUUUCAGGUUGACCUCGGAUCAGGUAGGGAUACCCGCUGAACUUAAGCAUAUCAAUAAGCGGAGGA